rnacentral:rRNA from 1 species
CACGUAGGGUGCGAGCGUUGUCCGGAAUUAUUGGGCGUAAAGAGCUCGUAGGCGGUAGUGUCGCGUCGGCCGUGAAAACCCUGCAGCUUAACUGUGGGCUUGCGGUCGAUACGGGCAUCACUGGAGUUCGGCAGGGGAGACUGGAAUUCCUGGUGUAGGCGGUGGAAUGCGCAGAUAUCAGGAGGAACACCGGUGGCGAAGGCGGGUCUCUGGGCAGUAACUGACGCUGAGGAGCGAAAGCGUGGGGAGCGAACAGG